CUCCUUCUCUCUCCUCCUUUCCCCUUUUCUCUAAAACCCUAAGGCGCCCUUUUGUUUUUCCCUCUCUCAUGCUAGAUAUGGCAAAAAUUCAGACUCCUCAGACUUUUGAUAGUCUUUGCAUGAUCAAAAGUGUGAAACCAUUAAUGUUCAACAUGAUUUCACUCAAAACAUGUUCCAAACAUGACCUGUCCUAUUUAUUCCAAGCCUAUAUGUGGAUAUGUAAAUCUAUGUCCUCCGUGGCUGUGUUGGUUGGGAGAGGCAGUUUAAAGAGCGGUGGGCUUGGUCGGAACCUUUCCCUGGGGACCAGGCAUGCCGGAGGUUCAUAAAACCCCUUGGAACUUGUGCGGCAUCAGGAACAAGGAUGGUGAUGGCUUUUCCUCCCCACCACCCAAGUCUUUUCAGAUGAGUUUAAAGACAUGGAAGUGCAUAUGCAUACUACAUGUACUUGUGAAUAAAUAGGAUACUAUGUUUGUAUGUGUGUACCUUUAUGCAUAUGAUAGAACUUGUAAGUGAAUAGGAUACUGUGUAUGUAUGUGUGUAUAGCUAUACAUAUGAUAAGAUCAGUAAAAUAUAAACUAACCGGGGUCUUUAUUUCUUUCCUUCUCCACUGCAUGGCCAUUCGGGCUGAGGUCCAGCCACCCUAUUGGGUCAAAGGCCCCUUAAAUUUCCUUCAAAAUUGUUGAGUAUAUGAAGAAAAGAAAAAGGGAAGCUCUAAUAUAAAUAUUGAAGGCCCAGUCAUGGGUGAAAAUGACACGAAGGCCCAACAAUGGGUGAAAAUGGUUACUAGGGGUUUGGUACACCCCUAGUCUAUCCUUCUUAUAUUAUUUAUGCCAUUCCUAUUUUCUUAAAACAUUUUUCUGUAUUGUAUUCAUACUUGUAAAAACCCACAAUAUUAUUGGAAUCGUUUGUGUUUCGAAUUAGGCCUCUUAGGCAAAUGGUGUAUAA